rnacentral:rRNA from 1 species
AUUGAACGCUGGCGGCAGGCCUAACACAUGCAAGUCGAGCGGAUGAAGGGAGCUUGCUCCUGGAUUCCGCGGCGGACGGGUGAGUAAUGCCUAGGAAUCUGCCUGGUAGUGGGGGAUAACGUCCGGAAACGGGCGCUAAUACCGCAUACGUCCUGAGGGUGAAAGUGGGGGGUCUUUGGACCUUACGCUAUCAGAUGAGCCUAGGUCGGUUUGGCUAGUUGGUGGGGUAAAGGCCUACCAAGGCGACGAUCCGUAACUGGUCUGAGAGGAUGAUCAGUCACACUGGAACUGGGACACGGUCCAGACUCCUACGGGAGGCAGCAGUGGGGAAUAGUGGACAAUGGGCGAAAGCCUGAUCCAGCCAUGCCGCGUGUGUGAAGAAGGUCUUCGGAUUGUAAAGCACUUUAAGUUGGGAGGAAGGGCAGUAAGUUAAUACCUUGCUGUUUUGACGUUACCAACAGAAUAAGCACCGGCUAACUUCGUG